rnacentral:rRNA from 1 species
UAUUACCGCGGCUGCUGGCACGGAGUUAGCCGGUGCUUCCUUCAGUGGUACCGUCAGUACAAACGAGUAUUAAUCGUUCGCAGGUUCUUCCCACUUGACAGAGCUUUACGACCCGAAGGCCUUCAUCACUCACGCGGCGUUGCUGCGUCAGGCUUUCGCCCAUUGCGCAAGAUUCCUCACUGCUGCCUCCCGUAGGAGU